CUACGGGAGGCAGCAGUGGGGAAUAUUGGACAAUGGGCGCAAGCCUGAUCCAGCAAUACCGCGUGUGUGAAGAAGGCCUGCGGGUUGUAAAGCACUUUCAAUUGGGAAGAAAAGCCUGAGGCUAAUAUCCUCGGGUCUUGACGUUACCUUAGAAGAAGCACCGGCUAACGCCGUGCCAGCAGCCGCGGUAAUACGGAGGGUGCGAGCGUUAAUCGGAAUUACUGGGCGUAAAGCGCGCGUAGGCGGCUUGUUAAGUCAGAUGUGAAAGCCCCGGGCUCAACCUGGGAACUGCAUUUGAUACUGGCAGGCUAGAGUGUGGUAGAGGGAAGUGGAAUUCCAGGUGUAGCGGUGAAAUGCGUAGAUAUCUGGAGGAACAUCAGUGGCGAAGGCGACUUCCUGGACCAACACUGACGCUGAGGUGCGAAAGCGUGGGUAGCAAACAGGAUUAGAUACCCCAGUAGUC
rnacentral:rRNA from 1 species